UUGGUCUAAAUAAGAAAUAGUUGUUUGUGUGGCUGCUUUGUCACAUGUGUGCCAGUAGGUGGCAGAGAGAAGAGAGGCUGUGUCAAUGCUCAGUAUACUGACCUAUGAACAUAUGAGCGAUUAGUAGCCUAACAUU